GGAAGAGCCAGAGAAAAGCCAUUUUCUGUUCCCAGAAAAUCAGCACCAAUCCGAAGCCCACACCGAUGUGCUGCUCUUCUCCACAAGCCAUGAUUCGUUUAGUGCCAGAACAGACUGUACUCUCAGGCCGCAUGCAGCUUGUUCUGAGCCUCAGGCCACCAGGCAUAAGAAAGAACGCAUGGUCAUUAGCUGACUCUGAUGAUCAGAUCAUGGAACUUCUUCCUGCGCUUUGGAAUAGGUGGUGUCUCAGAGAAGAGCUGUGUCUAACAGGUGGCACAAAAGGAGCGAUUUAAGCUUUCAUUAGAAGAUGUGAAUUAAACAUCCAGGGCACAAUUUUGGAGGUCUUCAGAAAAAGUGUAAGUUCUCAGUUUGAGAUGGCUUAAUUGCUGUCCUGCUUCAAGUGAAAAGGAU
rnacentral:lncRNA from 1 species